rnacentral:rRNA from 2 species
GAACGCUGGCGGUAUGCUUAACACAUGCAAGUCGAACGGUCCCUUCGGGGAUAGUGGCGGACGGGUGAGUAACGCGUGAGAACAUGCCUUUAGAUUGGGGACAACAGUUGGAAACGACUGCUAAUACCGAAUGUGCCUUAGGGUGAAAGAUUUAUUGUCUAAAGAUUGGCUCGCGUCAGAUUAGCUAGUUGGAGUGGUAACGGCACACCAAGGCGACGAUCUGUACUUGGUCUGAGAGGAUGACCAGGCACACUGGAACUGAGACACGGUCCAGACUCCUACGGGAGGCAGCAGUGGGGAAUUUUCCGCAAUGGGCGAAAGCCUGACGGAGCAAUACCGCGUGAGGGAGGACGGCUUUUGGGUUGUAAACCUCUUUUAUCAGGGAAGAAUCGAUGACGGUACCUGAUGAAUCAGCAUCGGCUAACUCCGUGCCAGCAGCCGCGGUAAUACGGAGGAUGCAAGCGUUAUCCGGAAUUAUUGGGCGUAAAGCGUCCGUAGGUGGUUUAUCAAGUCUGCUGUCAAAGCGUGCGGCUUAACCGCAUAAGGGCAGUGGAAACUGAUGAACUAGAGUGCGAUAGGGGUAACAGGAAUUCCCAGUGUAGCGGUGAAAUGCGUAGAUAUUGGGAAGAACACCAGCGGCGAAAGCGUGUUACUGGGUCUGCACUGACACUGAGGGACGAAAGCUAGGGGAGCGAAAGGGAUUAGAUACCCCUGUAGUCCUGGCCGUAAACGAUGAACACUAGGUGUCGGGGGAAUCGACCCCCUCGGUGUCGUAGCUAACGCGUUAAGUGUUCCGCCUGGGGAGUACGCACGCAAGUGUGAAACUCAAARGAAUUGACGGGGGCCCGCACAAGCGGUGGAGUAUGUGGUUUAAUUCGAUGCAACGCGAAGAACCUUACCAGGGUUUGACAUCCUGCGAAUCCCCUGGAAACGGGGGAGUGCCUUCGGGAGCGCAGAGACAGGUGGUGCAUGGCUGUCGUCAGCUCGUGUCGUGAGAUGUUGGGUUAAGUCCCGCAACGAGCGCAACCCACGUCUUUAGUUGCCAGCAUUCAGUUGGGCACUCUAGAGAGACCGCCGGUGAUAAACCGGAGGAAGGUGUGGAUGACGUCAAGUCAUCAUGCCCCUUACAUCCUGGGCUACACACGUACUACAAUGCUACGGACAGAGGGCAGCAAGCUCGCGAGAGUAAGCAAAUCCCAUAAACCGUGGCUCAGUUCAGAUCGUAGGCUGCAACUCGCCUACGUGAAGGAGGAAUCGCUAGUAAUCGCAGGUCAGCAUACUGCGGUGAAUACGUUCCCGGGCCUUGUACACACCGCCCGUCACACCAUGGAAGUUGGCCAUGCCCGAAGUCGUUACUCCAACCCUUGUGGAGGAGGACGCCGAAGGUGGCCCUGAUGACUGGGGUGAAGUCGUA